CCUACGGGGGGCAGCAGUGAGGAAUAUUGGUCAAUGGACGAGAGUCUGAACCAGCCAAGUAGCGUGAAGGAUGACUGCCCUAUGGGUUGUAAACUUCUUUUAUAUGGGAAUAAAAUGUUCCACGUGUGGGAUUUUGUAUGUACCAUAUGAAUAAGGAUCGGCUAACUCCGUGCCAGCAGCCGCGGUAAUACGGAGGAUCCGAGCGUUAUCCGGAUUUAUUGGGUUUAAAGGGUGCGUAGGUGGAUUGUUAAGUCAGUUGUGAAAGUUUGCGGCUCAACCGUAAAAUUGCAGUUGAAACUGGCAGUCUUGAGUACAGUAGGGGUGGGCGGAAUUCGUGGUGUAGCGGUGAAAUGCUUAGAUAUCACGAAGAACUCCGAUUGCGAAGGCAGUUCACUGGACUGCAACUGACACUGAGGCUCGAAAGUGUGGGUAUCAAACAGGAUUAGAUACCCUAGUAGUC
rnacentral:rRNA from 1 species